UACGAAGGGGGCUAGCGUUGUUCGGAAUUACUGGGCGUAAAGGGCGCGCAGGCGGCCCUCCAAGUCAGGCGUGAAAGCCCCGGGCUCAACCCGGGAAUAGCGCUUGAGACGUGGGGGCUUGAGUUCGGGAGAGGGAGAGGUGGAAUUCCCAGUUGUAGAGGUGAAAUUCGUAGAUAUUGGGAAGAACACCGGUGGCGAAGGCGGGCUCACUGGCUCGUAACUGACGCUCAUGCACGACAGCGUGGGGAUCAAACAGG
rnacentral:rRNA from 1 species